rnacentral:rRNA from 1 species
GACGAACGCUGGCGGCGUGCUUAACACAUGCAAGUCGAACGGAAAGGCCCUGCUUUUGUGGGGUGCUCGAGUGGCGAACGGGUGAGUAACACGUGAGUAACCUGCCCUUGACUUUGGGAUAACUUCAGGAAACUGGGGCUAAUACCGGAUAGGAGCUCCUGCUGCAUGGUGGGGGUUGGAAAGUUUCGGCGGUUGGGGAUGGACUCGCGGCUUAUCAGCUUGUUGGUGGGGUAGUGGCUUACCAAGGCUUUGACGGGUAGCCGGCCUGAGAGGGUGACCGGCCACAUUGGGACUGAGAUACGGCCCAGACUCCUACGGGAGGCAGCAGUGGGGAAUAUUGCACAAUGGGCGGAAGCCUGAUGCAGCAACGCCGCGUGCGGGAUGACGGCCCUCGGGUUGUAAACCGCUUUCGCCUGUGACGAAGCGUGAGUGACGGUAAUGGGUAAAGAAGCACCGGCUAACUACGUGCCAGCAGCCGCGGUGAUACGUAGGGUGCGAGCGUUGUCCGGAUUUAUUGGGCGUAAAGGGCUCGUAGGUGGUUGAUCGCGUCGGAAGUGUAAUCUUGGGGCUUAACCCUGAGCGUGCUUUCGAUACGGGUUGACUUGAGGAAGGUAGGGGAGAAUGGAAUUCCUGGUGGGGCGGUGGAAUGCGCAGAUAUCAGGAGGAACACCAGUGGCGAAGGCGGUUCUCUGGGCCUUUCCUGACGCUGAGGAGCGAAAGCGUGGGGAGCGAACAGGCUUAGAUACCCUGGUAGUCCACGCUGUAAACGGUGGGUACUAGGUGUGGGGUCCAUUCCACGGGUUCCGUGCCGUAGCUAACGCUUUAAGUACCCCGCCUGGGGAGUACGGCCGCAAGGCUAAAACUCAAAGGAAUUGACGGGGCCCCGCACAAGCGGCGGAGCAUGCGGAGUAAUUCGAUGCAACGCGUAGAACCUUACCUGGGUUUGACAUGGAUCGGGAGUGCUCAGAGAUGGGUGUGCCUCUUUUGGGGUCGGUUCACAGGUGGUGCAUGGCUGUCGUCAGCUCGUGUCGUGAGAUGUUGGGUUAAGUCCCGCAACGAGCGCAACCCUUGUUCACUGUUGCCAGCACGUUAUGGUGGGGACUCAGUGGAGACCGCCGGGGUCAACUCGGAGGAAGGUGGGGAUGACGUCAAGUCAUCAUGCCCCUUAUGUCCAGGGCUUCACGCAUGCUACAAUGGCUGGUACAGAGAGUGGCGAGCCUGUGAGGGUGAGCGAAUCUCGGAAAGCCGGUCUCAGUUCGGAUUGGGGUCUGCAACUCGACCUCAUGAAGUCGGAGUCGCUAGUAAUCGCAGAUCAGCAACGCUGCGGUGAAUACGUUCCCGGG